GGACUCCCAAAAGUAAACCUUUAUCUUCAAGUAAUCCUGAAAAGGUAAUCCUUAACCAAAUAAAGACUCCUAUAGAAGUUUAGAUCUUUCCAUCAAAUAUGAAAUUACAAAAGUAUCCUUGUGACUUAAAAUAAAUGUCCAACAGCUAGUAUUUUAAAUACACAAGUAAAAAUUUAAAAGAACUAGAAUGUACUCUGUAAUUUUCUUAAUAAACUCUUCAGCAAAACUAAAAGCUUCUUGAGUAAUU
rnacentral:misc_RNA from 1 species